GGCCACAUUACAUCAAAACACCAGUUCCCAUAUGAUCACUAAAGUUAAGCAACGUUGAGCCUGGUCAGUACCUAGAUGGGUCACCACUUGGGAAUACUAGGUGCUGUAUG
rnacentral:rRNA from 1 species